GAGUUAGUUCCCUUGCAUCACUUGUAUCAUUCUCUGAUGUUUCAAGCAGCAGACGUGAAAGGUUUCAUCCACAGUCAGUCAAUCGCCUGCCAGUCAUCACUAUGUCAUGGAUUCUCUGGAUCACUUCUAGUGUUGCUGUCAUCACAGGCCUUCCUAGACAGCUGUCCUCUUCAAGCUCUCCUUGCCAUGCUUCAAGUUUGCUGUCCAUCUCAUUACAGUGGUUUUACUAUAUCUCAAAUCUUGGAAUCACCUCUGCGGUCUAGUGGAUAGAGCAUCUGCCCAGAGAGUGGAAGGUUCAUGGUUCGAUCCUGACUGUGUCAUACCAAAAGACACUAAAAGAUGGCACUUGUUAUUACCCUGCCUGGAGCUCGGCAUU